UUCCGGUUGAUCCUGCCGGACCCCACUGCUAUCGGGAUAGGACUAAGACAUGCUAGUCACUCCAGCAGAGUGCGGCGCACAGCUCAGUAACACGUGGCUAACCUGCCCUUGGGAUAGGGACAACCCCGGGAAACUGGGGCUAAUCCCCAAUAGGUGAAGUGCUCUGGAAUGAGCCUUCGCCCGAAUGCUCCUUCGCCCGAGGAUGGGGCCGCGACCGAUCAGGUUGUUGGUGAGGUAAUGGCUCACCAAGCCUUUAACCGGUGCGGGCCGUGGGAGCGGGAGCCCGGAGAUGGGCACUGAGACAAGGGCCCAGGCCCUACGGGGCGCAGCAGUCGCGCAAACUUUGCAAUACACGAAAGUGUGACAGGGCUAUCCCGAGUGCCGUCCGCUGAGGAUGGCUUUUACCCAGUCUAGAACGCUGGGGGAAUAAGGAGAGGGCAAGUCUGGUGUCAGCCGCCGCGGUAAUACCAGCUCUCCGAGUGGUGUGGAUGUUUAUUGGGCCUAAAGCAUCCGUAGCUGGCCAGGUUAGUCCCCUGUUAAACCCACCGAAUUAAUCGUUGGAUUGCGGGGGAUACUGCCAGGCUAGGGGACGAGAGAGGCAGACGGUAUUUUCGGGGUAGGGGUGAAAUCCUAUAAUCCCGGGAGGACCACCAGUGGCGAAGGCUGUCGGCUAGAACGCGCCCGACGGUGAGGGAUGAAAGCUGGGGGAGCGAACCGGAUUAGAUACCCGGGUAGUCCCAGCUGUAAACGAUGCAGGCUAGGUGUUAGGGCGGCUACGGGCCGCUCUAGUGCCGCAGGGAAGCUGUUAAGCCUGCCACCUGGGGAGUACGGCCGCAAGGCUGAAACUUAAAGGAAUUGGCGGGGGAGCACCACAAGGGGUGAAGCUUGCGGUUCAAUUGGAUUCAACGCCGGA
rnacentral:rRNA from 1 species